CCUACGGGUGGCAGCAGUGGGGAAUAUUGGACAAUGGGCGAAAGCCUGAUCCAGCCAUGCCGCGUGUGUGAAGAAGGCCUUCGGGUUGUAAAGCACUUUCAGUGGGGAAGAAAGCCUUGGGGCUAAUACCCUCGAGGAAGGACAUCACCCACAGAAGAAGCACCGGCUAACUCCGUGCCAGCAGCCGCGGUAAUACGGAGGGUGCGAGCGUUAAUCGGAAUUACUGGGCGUAAAGCGCGCGUAGGCGGUCUGAUAAGCCGGUUGUGAAAGCCCCGGGCUCAACCUGGGAACGGCAUCCGGAACUGUCAAGCUAGAGUGCAGGAGAGGAAGGUAGAAUUCCCGGUGUAGCGGUGAAAUGCGUAGAGAUCGGGAGGAAUACCAGUGGCGAAGGCGGCCUUCUGGACUGACACUGACGCUGAGGUGCGAAAGCGUGGGUAGCAAACAGGAUUAGAUACCCCGGUAGU
rnacentral:rRNA from 1 species